rnacentral:rRNA from 1 species
AACGAACGCUGGCGGCAUGCCUAACACAUGCAAGUCGAACGAGAUCCUUCGGGGUCUAGUGGCGCACGGGUGCGUAACGCGUGGGAAUCUGCCCUUAGGUUCGGAAUAACAGUUAGAAAUGACUGCUAAUACCGGAUGAUGACGUUAAGUCCAAAGAUUUAUCGCCUGAGGAUGAGCCCGCGUAGGAUUAGCUAGUUGGUGUGGUAAAGGCGCACCAAGGCGACGAUCCUUAGCUGGUCUGAGAGGAUGAUCAGCCACACUGGGACUGAGACACGGCCCAGACUCCUACGGGAGGCAGCAGUGGGGAAUAUUGGACAAUGGGCGCAAGCCUGAUCCAGCAAGGCCGGGUGAGUGAUGAAGGCCUUAGGGUUGUAAAGCUCUUUUACCCGGGAUGAUAAUGACAGUACCGGGAGAAUAAGCCCCGGCUAACUCCGUG